rnacentral:rRNA from 1 species
AUACAUGAGCAAAAUCUCAACUUUAUUAGAAGAGACGCAUUUAUUAGAUAAAAAGCCAGUUCAUGCUUUUAUAGUAUGAAAAUUGGUGAUUUAUAAUAACUUAGCAAAUCGCAAAGUGAAAACAGGCGAUAAAUCAUUCAAGUUUCUGACCUAUCAGCUUUCGACGGUAUGGUAUUGGCUUACCGUGGCAGUGACGGUUAACGGGGGAUUAGGGUUCGAUUCCGGAGAGGGAGCCUGAGAAACGGCUACCACAUCUAAGGAAGGCAGCAGGCGCGCAAAUUACCCAAUUCUAACAGUUUGAGAGAGGUAGUAACAAGAAAUAACAAUACAAGGCAGUUAAAAUGCUUUGUAAUUGGAAUGAUAGAAAUUUAAACCCUUUUUAAAGUAUCAAUUGGAGGGCAAGUCUGGUGCCAGCAGCCGCGGUAAUUCCAGCUCCAAUAGCGUAUAUUAAAAUUGUUGCAGUUAAAAAGCUCGUAGUUGAAGUUCUGCUGAAAGUAACCGGUCUGCUUUUAAUAAAAGUGGUAUCUUGGUAUGUAUUUAGCAAUGAAUGUCCUUUUGAAGUGUUUUUUACUUUAUUGGUAAUAAAGCAUAUUCAGGACUUUUAACUUUGAGAAAAUUAGA